UACGUAGGGUGCAAGCGUUAAUCGGAAUUACUGGGCGUAAAGCGUGCGCAGGCGGUUAUAUAAGACAGAGGUGAAAUCCCCGGGCUCAACCUGGGAACUGCCUUUGUGACUGUAUGGCUAGAGUGUGUCAGAGGGGGGUAGAAUUCCACGUGUAGCAGUGAAAUGCGUAGAUAUGUGGAGGAAUACCGAUGGCGAAGGCAGCCCCCUGGGAUAACACUGACGCUCAUGCACGAAAGCGUGGGGAGCAAACAGG
rnacentral:rRNA from 1 species